UUACGGCCAUAUCACACUGAAACACCAGUUCUCGCACGAUCUCCGAAGUUAAGCAAAGUUGAGCCAGAACAGUACCUAGAUAGGUGACCGCUUGUGAAUACCAGGUGCUGUAAG